GGGGAGUGUGUGAAUCAAAGGAGCAGACCGCAGCUGGAGCCACCUCGCCUGGAUUCCUGAACGCAGCCUCUUGACAGACUGAUUGUGUAACGGCAUUCCUCCCAAAGAAACACGCCUGCCCCCUCCAAGAAGGGGAUGGAGGCAGAAGAGGUGCUGAGUCUGGAACCCAUGGCCGCUGGGGACGAGGUGAUCCCCCAGCUGUGUUCCCUUUAAGUUAACAAACACUCGUCUGGUCUGGGGCUGGGGUACAGCGAUGAGGAUGACCUGGUCCGAGCCCCAGGAAUGUGGGCCGUAAGAAGGGCAUGGGCAUGAAAGAUGUGCUCAG
rnacentral:lncRNA from 1 species